UAGAGCUGGUCUAUUAAAUUUGAAUUGAAAUAUUACUUGGGUUUAGUUGAGCAUAAAUAUUUCAAUUUAACGUGCAUGUUUGAUAUUAGCGUGCAUGUUUAAUAUUAGCGUGCCUUUUUGAUAUAAGCGUGCAUGGUGUAUAUGAGCACUAUAUUAUUAGAGUGUAACAAUUGACAGUUCGAAAGCUCGAAUGAGCGCGAAAACAGCUUGCACGGAGAACUUAGGAAAUACUAAUUAGGGUAUGAAAUAUCACACGGAUUGCAUUUUUGAUUUUUAUGCAUUACGCGGCAUAUGAAAUAUACGCCAUCAACAUAAAAUUUAUCCUUUGCAAUGCAUUUUUGAAAAUUAUUAUUCUGUAUGGAUUUUGUCUAUUUUUUGAUACACUUGGGACUCGGCGAUUUUUUAUUUGCAGUUUUAUUAGCAGGCUAUCGCAUGGAAGUAACAAUGCGUGGCUACUAAUUCGCGAGUUUUUUCGUAUAUUCGUCGGUGUUAUGGCAUAGAACGAUAUUUCUACAGUCCCCAAGUGUACCACAAGUAAGUCGGAAAAACUAGAACUAACAAGGAGAACGAGUAACAAAAAUUGGAUAUAUUUCAGCCAACCGGAUAAUGAGGAAGGAAAAGACGAAACUUCCGAGGAUCGACAACAUUCGUGGCAGAGAUGGCAGACGAAGAACAGUAGUUCUGAAAGCGCCAUUGAGGAUAUUAUGAAAGGCGGACUCAGCCCCUACCCUACAGCUGUGCCUAUAGCGUACUCUAGGCUGACAAAUGGAACCUACCGGCGAUUCCAGGGGAAGGUUUGCUAACGUACCUGAGACAUGAGACUGUGAAGUCAGGUGUGAUUUCAUCAGCCGCCGGAAUGAUUCCAUCGUGGGUUCCGAUACCACCAAUGUCAUUCAUACUGGUGUGUUCAGGUUUCCGGAAUGUCGAAGUAUUUCAUUGUCGUUCGGUGAUAGUGGAGCGCCUCAUAUAUUGAAAUAAAUGUUUUUUAUAUCAUGUCUUUCAAUUCAACUAAUUUGUUUUUCAUCUUCCUGCCGUUGGGCUUGAAAGUAAACAAAAGAAUAGUGACAGCUUAAAAAUAAUGCGCAGUUAUGCAUUGUAAUUCAUAAAAAUGUUUUAUACUUUGAAGGCAUAAUGAAAAGAUAUUCAUUCCAUGGAGUGAAUAGACGGAAUAUGGUUUUAGUAUAGGUUUUAAGCAUUUCAGUAUUUAAAUAUUUAAGCGUGUGGCUUGAAUCCAGACUUCAGUUUAGUGAAAAUUGUUGUGGAUGAUGGUUGUGGAAGAAAACGGCAGUGUAAUUUUCAGCCGUAGUGGAAAAUCGACUGAUGGCCGAAUCUGCCGAAAGCUGUACAGCUCAAAAUUACGGAUACUACAAUAUAUAUAAACAUCUAACCGGGAAGGCUACUCGUUCCGUCAAACUACAUCCUCCAAUGUCUUUCAUCAAUCCCCCAGAGAUUUACAAUACCCGGGGAUACAUUCAAGAGCAGCAAAAGCUUCGACACAAAUACCACAAUUUUUACUUAAAAUCAUGUACUAUCCCAACAUUAAUGUUUAAGAUAAUAAAAUAAAUGUUAUGCUUUUUGUA
rnacentral:lncRNA from 1 species